rnacentral:lncRNA from 13 species
GUGUUCUUUUUUUUUCAGAGGGAGUCUCGCUCUGUCACCCAGGCUGGAGUAUAGUGGUGCAAACUUAGCUCACUGCAACCUCUGCCUCCUGGGUUAAAGGUAUUCUCCUGCCUCAGCUUCCCAAGUAGCUGGAAUUACAGAUAUAACCAACACAAAAACUGUUGUAAAACACAGCUGAGUGCUGGACAGACCUCUGAUAGUGUCAUGGGAGAAAGGCGAAGAAGAAAUUUCUUAAGAAGAUUUGAAACUACCUUAUAACUAAGGAAAUUAUGACAGUGAAAGAAAUCAGACCUAAUUAACUCUCUAUGGCCUCUGACCCUUAAGCUGUCCUUGUUUAAUCCCAGGCAUAGGCCAAACUAACUUUGGGAAGGAAUUCAGUUCAUGGUUUGAACUCUGAAACAAAAUCGAUAACAGACUUUCCCAAAAAGACUCGCUUCUUGCCUGUGGUCAAGUCUGCCUUUGCAGGACUAACAAAUUAGCUACAAGAUUAGAAAUUACAAUUUAAAGGUCAUGCAGCCUCUGGCUCCAAGAGUCUGAACCUCCCCAAAUUGCUCCUGAAGAUAACAUCAUCAUUGUAAAACCCAAGAUCAAUGCUUGAGAUAUUUUGCAGACCCUGCACUCAACGGAUCAGCUGACACCACGGAGACCAGUAAUCUGACUCAACUACUUCUGCCAUCCCACCCAGGAACAGAAGACAGCAAGAAAACCUCAUUUCGACCUAGUAUGAUUUCAUCCUCAAUCUGACCUAUCAGCACUCCCCACUCUUCUAGACCAUGCUCGCUAAAUUAUCCUUAUAAACUCCGAUCCCGAAUGCUCAGGGAGACUGAUUUGAGUAAUAAUAAAACUACUGUCACUGGC